CGUGUAGGCGGCCUCUUAAGUUUGGUGUGAAAGCCCGGGGCUCACCCCCGGAAGGGCACUGGAGACUGGGAGGCUGGAGUACCGGAGAGGAAGGUGGAAUUCCUGGUGUAGCGGUGAAAUGCGUAGAUAUCAGGAGGAACACCGGUGGCGAAGGCGGCCUUCUGGACGGAUACUGACGCUGAGACGCGAAAGCGUGGGGAGCGAAACAGGAUUAGAUACCCUGGUAGUCCACGCUGUAAACGAUGGGCACUAGGUGUUCGGGGUAUUGACCCCCUGAGUGCCGCAGCUAACGCAUUAAGUGCCCCGCCUGGGGACUACGGCCGCAAGGUUAAA
rnacentral:rRNA from 1 species